AAGGAAGAUGGUCUGCUAAACAUAACACUGUCCCGCCGUUUAUUGACUCCUAAGCCGCCCGUGUCAUGUUUUCCGCCUUUCUCGCCGUCCUAGCUGUCAUGCAGCUUCCUGACGCGCCACACAGUGAUGAAGUUUGUGGUGGAGCAUGUGAGCAGAUUGGGGACGGCUAGGCAGGCUGGGUGGUCUCUGCAGCCAGCCUGAUAGUAUCCACACCACUCCACUCUCCCUUAUUCCCACCAAGGGAGGCAGUGCACCACAUCUCAUGCAGGACGUACUGCACCGGUGGCGAGGCGUCGAGGGAAGCACCUCUUUGUGUUCCUGCCCACCACUUUACUGAACACAUGAAGGUGCUCCAGAGUUUCAAGAAGGGUGGCACACACACUUUGCUGCACUACAAGCUUUUGGAGGUCCAGCGGCACACUGCACACUUCUUUCCUAAACGUGUGUGCAGAGUGCAAGACAGAGUGGCAAGGAUGGAGGAUGCAUCAACAUUCACAGCAUCAUUGGUUCAUGCUUUUUUUUUUUUUUUUGUGUGUGUGUGUGUGUGGAAAGAAGUGCACACAGUUUUAACCGAAGGAUUAUAUGUGUGUGUGUGUGUGUGUGGGCAGCUUUAUGGGCAAGUGUGCCAGUCAUUCCUUGAAUUCAAUGUUUUUCAUUUAGGGAAAAAUUGUUGUAUAUAAUUAGGUUUAUAGACAUUUUUGAGUGGGAAUGUUUAGACUGAUUAAAUAGUAAGUUUCUCUACUUUGUAGAGCUUUGCUGUUACUGUUCUGUGUAAGGUUUCAAGGGCCGUAUUCUACAAACCAUCAUAGCUAGUGAUGUGAUUGUAGACAAAAUGGUGCAUUUUAGACACAAGUCCCUCAAUGACAGGCUCUCACCUUGUGACUCGUCAUAAGUGCCAAGACAGGGUUCAGUCUGUUGUAGCGCUGCCAACCACUGUCUUAAAACUCUUCUCAGCAUGGUGAGAGCUUGUUUUUAUGUACCAUGGCAUGAUCCCCGACAGUUUUUGAUAUUAAUUAAUGAUAAAUAUCUGUAAUGAUGGCUAAAUAAUGUCCUUUGAUGGAGUGAGUAAUUUAUCAUUAUAGAUAACUGCCAAGAGGGUGCGAUCAGUUUUCCAAAAACUCAAACAAACCUUGCUCUGAGUGGCUUGCAUGUGUCAUGUGUCAUGUGUCAGGCUGUUGGGCAUAAUCUUCUGUUUGUCAUGUUUCUUUUGUUUGGAUACACAGUCUUACUAUGAUGUCAAAAUAAUUAGAAUUGUAGAAAUUAUGUCAAGGAUCUAUUUCUUUGUAUACAUAUAUAAAGUUGACAAGUGAUGAGCCCAAAGACCAGCAGUGGAGUGACGGUCAGGCAUUCAGUGAGACCUGAGGCUGACUGUGUAGAAUACGGCCCCAGAAUGAUAGUCUGUGUUUUGUGUAUUUAUGGUGACAAUGUAGUGUUGCAAGGGACAACAUGCUGUUUGAGACCAAAGCCAUUGUGUAAGAAAUCAUUGUACAGAGUUGAUAGUUCCUCCUAGACUUUGCAAUGAAAUUGCUGUCAAAAUACUAUUAUGUUAUUGUAUUCAUUUUUUUAAUGUUAUAUUAGACAAAUGUAUGGAUGACCUGUUCAUACAGAGACUGCUGCCGUGUAUGUGCAGGCCUCAUGGUCCAUCUUGCAACUUUCCUAAUUUUUUUCUCUAAUACUUUGUAAGGUGAAAAUAUUCCCAGACUAAAAAAUAUAAAAUUGUCCCAAGUUAGAAAUUGCAGAAAUUAUUCUAAGUUGAAAUAUAAAAAUUGUUGUAUGUUGCAAGUUGUUAAAAUUUUCCUAGCUGUUCAAAUUCUAGUGUUGCUUUGUAAAAAUAUCCUAGCUGUUCAAAUUCUAGUGUUGCUUUGUAAAAAUUUUCUAAGUCGAAAGUUUUGGUAGAGUUUUCAUCAGAAUUGUGUAAAAAUUUUCUAGUUGAAAUUUGUAGUUUUCUAGCUGUACAAAUUCUGGUGUUACACUGUAAAAUUUUUCUAAGUUGAAAGUUUUGGUGGAGUUUUCAGAGUUGUGUAAAAAUGUGUUGAUUGAAUAAAAGUGAAGGAAGGGAGA